rnacentral:rRNA from 1 species
GGAAGCAGCAGUGAGGAAUUUUUCACAAUGGGCGAAAGCCUGAUGGAGCAAUACCACGUGAACGAUGAAGGUCUUCUGAUUGUAAAGUUCUUUUAUUUAGGAAAAAAAGCAGGAUAGGAAAUGAUUCUGCCGUGAUUGUACUAAUUGAAUAAGUGACAGCUAACUAUGUGCCAGCAGCUGCGGUAAAACAUAGGUCACGAGCAUUAUCCGGAUUUAUUGGGCGUAAAGGAAGCGUAGGUGGAGGAGUUGAUCCAUUGUCAAAAGCAUCUGCUUAACAGGUGUCCGCGAUGGAUAUCGCUUCUCUAGAAUUAGUUAGGGGGUACUGGAAUUCAAUGUGUAGCGGUGGAAUGCGUAGAUAUAUUGAGGAACACCAGAGGCUAAGGCGAGUACCUGGGACAUAAUUGACACUGAGGCUUGAAAGCGUGGGGAGCAAAUGGGAUUAGAUACCCCAGUAGUCCACGCCGUAAACGAUGGGUAUUAGGUAUUUGGUUUAAAACUGAGUGCUGUAGCU